UACGUAGGGGGCAAGCGUUGUCCGGAAUCAUUGGGCGUAAAGGGCGCGUAGGCGGCCUGAUAAGUAGGGGGUGAAAUCCUGCGGCUUAACCGCAGGGCUGCCUUCUAAACUGUCAGGCUUGAGCACAGUAGAGGCAGGUGGAAUUCCCGGUGUAGCGGUGGAAUGCGUAGAGAUCGGGAAGAACAUCAGUGGCGAAGGCGGCCUGCUGGGCUGUUGCUGACGCUGAGGCGCGACAGCGUGGGGAGCAAACAGG
rnacentral:rRNA from 1 species